rnacentral:rRNA from 1 species
UACGUAGGGGGCAAGCGUUGUCCGGAGUACUGGGCGUAAACGCACGCAGGCGGUCUUUUAAGGUUUGGAGUUGACAGUUGGUGGCUUAACUGCCAAAAGUUGCUUCGAAACUAGAACGACUUGAGGGCUUCAGAGGGACACGGAAUCCGGGUGGAGUGGUGAAAUGCGUAGAGAUCCGGAGGAACACCAAAGGCGAAAGGCAGUGUCCUGGGGAGUACCUGACGCUCAGGUGCCGAA